rnacentral:lncRNA from 1 species
UAUUUCUAGAGAUGAAAUCACUUUACAACUGCAUAUGCACAAAAGACGACGAGAAGCCUUACAGGAGCCGAUAUAUCAAAGUCAAGUAUUUGAGACUCAGUGCUAUGCAAAUUCCUUGAAGUUAUUGAUAAUUAUGGUGAUUGGCGUCCGUAUAGUUUGUAUAAACAGCCAUGGCUGUGUGAAUACACAGUGACUAUUGACUUUGACUGCACGAUACAUGAUUAGAAUCUAUCGAACAAAUCAUAAAACAUUGCAUUGAGUACGCAUUAAACCCUGAUUCAACCACCACUUUUAUUCCAAAAUCCAUGCAUGCAGCCAGCAG